UCCCCCGUGAGGGGGCAGUCUCGCCAGACACUUGUAACUGGCAACGAAGGUUGCGUUCGUUACCCCACUGAAGGGAACGAUUCAAACCACGAACUGACGACAGCCAUGCAUCACCUGUCCUACACCCUCGAAGGCUUCCUCGGUUUCCCGAGGCGUGCAGUAGGAUUUCUAGCCCUGGUAAGGUUCUUCGCUUAGCGACGAAUUGAGCCACACGCUCCACCGCUUGUGCAAGCUCCCGUCUAUUCCUUUGAGUUUUAGCCUUGCGGCCGUACUCCCCAGGCGGGGUGCUUAAUGCGUUAGCUUCGGCACGGACGGAGUUGACACCGCCCACACCUAGCACCCAUCGUUUACGGCGUGGACUAC
rnacentral:misc_RNA from 1 species